rnacentral:rRNA from 1 species
CCUACGGGAGGCAGCAGGGGGGAAUAUUGCACAAUGGGCGAAAGCCUGAUGCAGCAACGCCGCGUGAAGGAAGAAGGGUUUAGGCUCGGAGACUUCUAUCAACAGGGACGAAAGAAAUGACGGUACCUGAAUAAGAAGCCCCGGCUAACUACGUGCCAGCAGCCGCGGUCAUACGUAGGGGGCAAGCGUUAUCCGGAAUUACUGGGUGGAAAGGGGGAGUAGGCGGUAUGGUAAGCCAGAUGUGAAAGCCUUGGGCUUAACCCGAGGAUUGCAGUUGGAACUAUCAAGCUAGAGUACAGGGGAGGAAAGCGGAAUGCCUAGUGUAGCGGUGAAAUGCGUAGAUAUUAGGAAGAACAC